AUUUAACGCUGGCGGCAGGCCUUACACAUGCAAGUCGAGCGGAGCGGCGGACGGGUAAGUAAUGCCUAGGAACCUGCCUAGUAGUGGGGGAUAACGUCCGGAAAAGGGCGCUAAUACCGCAUACUAUCAGAUCAGCCUAGGUCGGAUUAGCUAGUUGGUGGUGUAAAGGCCUACCAAGGCGACGAUCCCUAGCUGGUCUGAGAGGAUGAUCAGUCACACUGGGACUGAGACACGGCCCAGACUCCUACGGGAGGCAGCAGUGGGGAAUCUUCGGCAAUGGACGAAAGUCUGACCGAGCAACGCCGCGUGAGUGAAGAAGGCCUUCGGGUUGUAAAGUACUUUCAGUCGGGAGGCGUUACCGACAGAAGAAGCACCGGCUAACUCCGUGCCAGCAGCGGCGGUAAUAC
rnacentral:rRNA from 1 species